rnacentral:rRNA from 1 species
UGGGGAAUUUUGGACAAUGGGGGCAACCCUGAUCCAGCCAUUCCGCGUGAGGGAAGAAGGCCUUCGGGUUGUAAACCUCUUUCGGCAGGAACGAAACGGUGAGAGCUAAUAUCUCUUAUCAAUGACGGUACCUGAAGAAGAAGCACCGGCUAACUACGUGCCAGCAGCCGCGGUAAUACGUAGGGUGCGAGCGUUAAUCGGAAUUACUGGGCGUAAAGCGUGCGCAGGCGGUUUUGUAAGACAGAUGUGAAAUCCCCGGGCUUAACCUGGGAACUGCGUUUGUGACUGCAAGACUCGAGUGUGGCAGAGGGGGGUGGAAUUCCACGUGUAGCAGUGAAAUGCGUAGAGAUGUGGAGGAACACCGAUGGCGAAGGCAGCCCCCUGGGUCAACACUGACGCU